AACGAACGCUGGCGGCAUGCCUAACACAUGCGAGUCGAACGAUGCCUUCGGGCAUAGUGGCGCACGGGUGCGUAACGCGUGGGAAUCUGCCUUUCGGUUCGGAAUAACUCAGGGAAACUUGAGCUAAUACCGGAUAACGUCGCAAGACCAAAGAUUUAUCACCGAAAGAUGAGCCCGCGUAGGAUUAGCUAGUUGGUGAGGUAAAGGCUCACCAAGGCGACGAUCCUUAGCUGGUCUGAGAGGAUGAUCAGCCACACUGGGACUGAGACACGGCCCAGACUCCUACGGGAGGCAGCAGUGGGGAAUAUUGGACAAUGGGCGAAAGCCUGAUCCAGCAAUGCCGCGUGAGUGAUGAAGGCCUUAGGGUUGUAAAGCUCUUUUACCCGGGAAGAUAAUGACGGUACCGGGAGAAUAAGCCCCGGCUAACUCCGUG
rnacentral:rRNA from 1 species